rnacentral:lncRNA from 1 species
GCCAGGAGCUGUGGAUAAGUUAUCCUUCUUAGAAUGAAAUAUUCAUUUUGAUUAACAGGGGGUGACGUGAUUGAAAAGACUGGAAACAGAAAGAUUGGACUUUGUAAGACUUUGAUGUAAGGAGUCAGAAUCAUAAUUUCACAUAUGAAGCAUCUUUUACAUCUGGGGAGUCAGAAUCCCAAAGGCAAAAAAUUGUGUGUGCAAAGAGCUUACCAAAUCUUAAGCCUCAUUCUCAGCAUUAAGGAUUUUAUUUUAUUUUUAUUUAUUUGUUUUUUAAAUUAUUUUAUUUUAUUUUUUAACUUUACAAUAUUGAAUUGGUAUACCUGUGGAGAAUUGAUGCUUUUGAACUGUGGUGUUCGAGAAGACUCUUCAGAGUCCCUUGGACUGCAAGGAGAUCCAAUCAGUCCAUUCUCAAGGAAAUCAGUCCUGGGUGUUCUUUGGAAGGACUGAUGCUAAAGCUGAAACUCCAAUACUUUGGCCACCUCAUGA